rnacentral:rRNA from 1 species
ACGACGUCAAGUCAGCAUGGCCUUUAUAUCCUGGGCUACACACACGCUACAAUGGUCGGUACAAUGGGUCGCCAAGCCGCGAGGCGGAGCCAAUCCUCCAAAACCGGCCUCAGUUCAGAUUGUAGGCUGCAACUCGCCUGCAUGAAGUUGGAGUUGCUAGUAACCGCGCGUCAGCUAUAGUGCGGUGAAUACGUUCCCGGGGCUUU